UUUCAUGUCUGGGCUGUGAGGGUUCCUGGCGUGCUGAUUUGUGACUUAUGAUAAAAUCACAUUGCCAGGGAUUACCACACAGCCUUGACCCGGACGGCUGCUAUGGCAA
ensembl:miRNA MIR23B microRNA 23b